rnacentral:rRNA from 1 species
UACGUAGGGCGCAAGCGUUGUCCGGAAUUAUUGGGCGUAAAGAGCUCGUAGGCGGUUUGUCGCGUCUGCUGUGAAAACCUAAGGCUCAACCUUGGGCUUGCAGUGGGUACGGGCAGACUAGAGUGCGGUAGGGGUGACUGGAAUUCCUGGUGUAGCGGUGGGAUGCGCAGAUAUCAGGAGGAACACCGAUGGCGAAGGCAGGUCACUGG